CUCCAAAGUUUUGGCAGUCAUCUUACUUUUGCCUUUCCCAACUCUAGUUUUUCCAUUUACAAAAUCCCUUCCAGAAGUUAUAUUUUAGUCAGAAAAUCAAUCCAAAGGGAUUUUGUUGGUACGCUAUUCUCCUUGUCCCUCCUCCUAAGUGUUUAAAGGCUCAAGGAUUGGUUAGAAAAGGGAAUUGCCACACUGGGGGAACUGUAUCUUGGUGGCAUAUUGAAAUCCUUUGAGGAUGUGGGACAGCAAUUUG